AACGAACGCUGGCGGCAUGCCUAACACAUGCAGGUCGAACGAGACCUUCGGGUCUAGUGGCGCACGGGUGCGUAACGCGUGGGAACCUGCCCUUAGGUUCGGAAUAACUCCCCGAAAGGGGUGCUAAUACCGGAUAAUGUCUUCGGACCAAAGAUUUAUCGCCUUUGGAUGGGCCCGCGUUGGAUUAGCUAGUUGGUAGGGUAAAAGCCUACCAAGGCGACGAUCCAUAGCUGGUCUGAGAGGAUGAUCAGCCACACUGGGACUGAGACACGGCCCAGACUCCUACGGGAGGAAGCAGUGGGGAAUAUUGGACAAUGGGCGAAAGCCUGAUCCAGCAAUGCCGGGUGAGUGAUGAAGGCCUUAGGGUUGUAAAGCUCUUUUACCCGGGAUGAUAAUGACAGUACCGGGAGAAUAAGCUCCGGCUAACUCCGU
rnacentral:rRNA from 1 species